rnacentral:tRNA from 1 species
UCCCUGAUGGCUCAGUGGUAAAGAGUCUGUCUGCAAUGCAGGAGACCCUGGUUCCAUCCCUGGACUGGGAA